AGAGUUUGAUCAUGGCUCAGGAUGAACGCUAGCGGCAGGCUUAACACAUGCAAGUCGAGGGGUAGGGCACUUCGGUGCUUGAGACCGGCGCACGGGUGCGUAACGCGUAUGCAAUCUGCCUUUCACAGAGGGAUAGCCCAGAGAAAUUUGGAUUAAUACCUCAUAGCAUUACGGGAUGGCAUCAUCCUGUAAUUAAAGUCACAACGGUGAAAGAUGAGCAUGCGUCCCAUUAGCUAGUUGGUAAGGUAACGGCUUACCAAGGCAACGAUGGGUAGGGGUCCUGAGAGGGAGAUCCCCCACACUGGUACUGAGACACGGACCAGACUCCUACGGGAGGCAGCAGUGAGGAAUAUUGGUCAAUGGGCGCAAGCCUGAACCAGCCAUGCCGCGUGCAGGAUGACGGUCCUAUGGAUUGUAAACUGCUUUUGUACGGGAAGAAACACUCCUUCGUGAAGGAGCUUGACGGUACCGUAAGAAUAAGGAUCGGCUAACUCCGUGCCAGCCGCCGCGGUAA
rnacentral:rRNA from 1 species